ACGUAGCUCAGUUGGAUAGAGCAACAGUUUCCUAAACUGUAGGUCGCAGGUUCAAUCCCUGCCGUGG
rnacentral:tRNA from 1 species